ensembl:lncRNA
GGGGGAAGCAAAAGGCGCUCGCAACGAACGCGUGCGGACUGAUGGUGAUGGAGUGAUGGUGAUGGGUGAGAAGAAAUAGGGAAAAGGAAACCGCGCUGUUAGAACGCGCCGAGUGGUACUGCUGCUCCGGUCAGGCCUCGGGCACGCAAAUAUCUGGCUGCUCGCUGAAACCGUCCGCUCAAAAAUAAAACAUCUUUUGUCCCUUGCUGGCAGGUACGGAAGGCAGCAGCGAGGAUCUGUGCUGCCGGCGUCCCCAAGCACAGAUGUCUGGCACAGCAUCCUCGUGGCACAGCGUGGAGGCAUCCCCGGAGAGGCGCACGGGGUGGCCCAUGCGUGUGGAGUUGUAAACCAGCACAAACGGUUGUCACAGCCCUCAGCAGGGUUGCAGGUGAAGCCCACCACGGCUCUGACUUGCAGAGGGUAAAGAGCCAUUGAGCCCCUUCUCAGAUCUGCACCAUGGCCGUGGCAGAGGACUAUGGUGUCUGGGAGAUGUCUUUCUCCGGAGGACACAGUCAAUGGUGUGGAGUGGCAGCUCCAAGGCCAGCAGGCACCUGGUUAGGCUGCUUUAGUUCCCAGAGAAUGCUUUCUGUGCGCCCCCCUUGGUUGGAACCCUCACCUUCUGCGUUCAGAAGUACUGAAACCCGGCAGAAGCUCCCAGAUGCACAUCUCCAAGCACAAUGACACUGUCACUCCUGUGGCCGUCAGCCCCUCAGGUCUACGCAGGCAGAGCCAGGCUCCAAUGUACCCCACUCAUUUUCUAAUCCAACGGCAUGUGGGCCAGUAGCAGCACGAGGGCGAUGGAUGAGGUGUGAGACCACGGGUUCCUCGCAGACAGCAGGAAACAAAAGAACAAUGGCUAUCCUGGUUAGCAACCAUCGUUCCUCUGUGCCAUAUAAAUGACAUCUCGCUGCUUCCGUGGGUGGCUGAGGAGCUUCUCGGCACUUUGUGCCUUCUCCUUUGUGUCGCUAUGUGGAGUAUUCUCGCAUUUAUUCCCAUCUCCCAAUUUUUUCACGCCCAUUUCUCUUGUCCUUCCUUUGUCCCGUCUCACACACCGCUGCCGAUCUCAAUUUCAGACGGCAUGGCACGUUCACAGGGCGAGCCCAUCGCUUCCACUGCAUCGAAACCACAGCUGUGCCACGACCACAUCGCAUCUGCAUUAAGAUAUUAGAGCAUUCCAACCACGUGAAGAUCUGGGCUCAGGCAGAUCUCCAGAGACACCCACCUCACCUCGGGAUAGCUCUGAAGGAAAGCACCUGCUUUCUGCCAGCAGCACGACAGGACGAACGGAGAGGUGUUCUGCCAACAGCAGUACAGCUGGAAAAGUCCGGGGUCUGGAGGUUAAAAGCUUUGUUAAGUAGAACCAGGUACAGUGAUUGUAGGUUUGGGGUUAUUUUACUGUAGUUUUAAAGGCAAACAUUCAUACAAGGAGCUCUCCCCUGCACCACCUGCGUGCAGUGGCCCAGCAGCCGGACAGCUUUCCUCCUCUGCUGAGCACAACAGCAGUGUGUGAGCUCGAAGCUCAGUGUAGUUGAGAGCCGAUGAGGCUGAGGAGCUGGUGUGCAUCCCUCAGCAUGCACACGUAAUGGUGAACGAAUGGCAGUCAGCUCCUCUUGGCACUGUGGCUGCUCUGCACGUAAGGAUCCGCAGAACAUCUCUCCAGAUCUCACCACGGUGAAAGCUUCAGCAAGACUUUUAUGCUGCCUUCAUCUUGGGGGAUUUCUCAUUUGUCAAAUAGUCCCAAAUAAAUGGAAGAGGAAGGUUUUGCUGUUGUUCCUUAACUCAUUGUUAGUGACUUAUUCAUUACACCCUGAGGAAUAUCCAUCUCUUUUUUUUGGCUCUCACCACGACUGCACUCCACAGACAACUGUGCCACAUUAGUCCAGCCACUUUAGCACUGAUUUGUGCUUUUCCCCCCUUUCCUUAUUUUUCCCCCCCGAGAACACAAACUGCUAAAUUUGCCUCAGAUUCCACAUUUGCCAUGCCUGCUCUUGCACACUGACUCUGGCUCAGCCAUAUAUCUGUCAUUGGAUCCAUUA